AGUGAACGCUGGCGGUAGGCCUAACACAUGCAAGUCGAACGGCAGCACAGGAGAGCUUGCUCUCUGGGUGGCGAGUGGCGGACGGGUGAGGAAUACAUCGGAAUCUACCUUGUCGUGGGGGAUAACGUAGGGAAACUUACGCUAAUACCGCAUACGACCUUCGGGUGAAAGUGGGGGACCGCAAGGCCUCACGCGAUUAGAUGAGCCGAUGUCGGAUUAGCUAGUUGGCGGGGUAAAAGCCCACCAAGGCGACGAUCCGUAGCUGGUCUGAGAGGAUGAUCAGCCACACUGGAGCUGAGACACGGUCCAGACUCCUACGGGAGGCAGCAGUGGGGAAUAUUGGACAAUGGGCGCAAGCCUGAUCCAGCCAUACCGCGUGGGUGAAGAAGGCCUUCGGGUUGUAAAGCCCUUUUGUUGGGAAAGAAAUCUUGCCGGUUAAUACCUGGUGAGGAUGACGGUACCCAAAGAAUAAGCACCGGCUAACUUCGUGCCAGCCGCCGCCGUAACAC
rnacentral:rRNA from 1 species